AGAGUUUGAUCAUGGCUCAGGAACGAAACGCUGGCCGGGCGGUUGCCUUAAUACAUGCAAGUCGAAGGCCGAGGCCGGAACCCAACAGAUUACUUCGGUAAUGACGUUGGGAAAGCGAGCGGCGGAUGGGUGAGUAACACGUGGGGAACCUGCCCCUUAAGUCUGGGAUACCAUUUGGAAACAGGUGCUAAUACCGGAUAAUAAAGCAGAUCGCAUGAUCAGCUUUUGAAAGGCGGCGUAAGCUGUCGCUAAGGGAUGGCCCCGCGGUGCAUUAGCUAGUUGGUAAGGUAACGGCUUACCAAGGCGACGAUGCAUAGCCGAGUUGAGAGACUGAUCGGCCACAUUGGGACUGAGACACGGCCCAAACUCCUACGGGAGGCAGCAGUAGGGAAUCUUCCACAAUGGACGCAAGUCUGAUGGAGCAACGCCGCGUGAGUGAAGAAGGUUUUCGGAUCGUAAAGCUCUGUUGUUGGUGAAGAAGGAUAGAGGUAGUAACUGGCCUUUAUUUGACGGUAAUCAACACCACACAGAAAACCCGGGAAAUUACUGCCCCCGCCACCGCGGGUAAUACGUAGGUGGCAAGCGUUGUCCGGAUUUAUUGGGCGUAAAGCGAGCGCAGGCGGAAAAAUAAGUCUAAUGUGAAAGCCCUCGGCUUAACCGAGGAACUGCAUCGGAAACUGUUUUUCUUGAGUGCAGAAGAGGAGAGUGGAACUCCAUGUGUAGCGGUGGAAUGCGUAGAUAUAUGGAAGAACACCAGUGGCGAAGGCGGCUCUCUGGUCUGCAACUGACGCUGAGGCUCGAAAGCAUGGGUAGCGAACAGGAUUAGAUACCCUGGUAGUCC
rnacentral:rRNA from 1 species